UGGGGAAUCUUGCACAAUGGGCGAAAGCCUGACGCAGCGACGCCGCGUGGGGGAUGAAGCAUUUCGGUGUGUAAACCCCUUUCGACCGGGAAGAAUGCCUCGCAAGAGGAGUGACGGUACCAGUAGAAGAAGCCCCGGCUAACUACGUGCCAGCAGCCGCGGUAAGACGUAGGGGGCCAGCGUUGUUCGGAAUUACUGGGUGUAAAGGGUUCGUAGGCGGUGCGGCAAGUCGGGAGUGAAAUCUAUGGGCUUAACCCAUAGGCUGCUUCCGAAACUGCUGUGCUUGAGUGUGGGAGAGGCGCGUGGAAUUGCAGGUGUAGCGGUGAAAUGCGUAGAUAUCUGCAGGAACACCCGUGGCGAAAGCGGCGCGCUGGACCACAACUGACGCUGAGGAACGAAAGCUAGGGGAGCAAACAGGAUUAGAUACCCCCGUAGUCC
rnacentral:rRNA from 1 species